CCAUAGCUUAGUGGUAGAGCACAUGCUCUGCAUGCAAAUGAUCCCCAGAUUUAAACCCUGGCAUCAGGU